GGUUCGCAGACAUCUGUAGCCUGAGUUCAUCCAUCUUGUUAGGUAGAGACCUGGCGUUGGUAAGACACAGGCUAGGGAGAGGUGGUUUGAACGGCCGCUUCCGUAGCCUGGUUAGCGCGCCGGCCCUGCAGCCUCGUUUUUGCCUCCUCUCUCUGCGCUGCCUUCGCUUCCUCCCAGCUGGGAUGGUGAUCCAAGGGGAGCUGGGGCGCCUGAUGAUAUCCUCCGGUAUGUUUUGCGAGCGGUGAAACUCCGCUGCGACACUCAACUCGCAGCAAACCCCUAUCCUGAGGAGCUCCUGCCGAGACCGCCUGGGAAAAA